rnacentral:rRNA from 1 species
CCCGGCGACCGGCGCACGGGUGAGUAACACGUAUGAAACCUGCCCGUAGCAGGGGGAUAAGCGGAAGAAAUUCCGUCUAAUACCGCGUAACAACCCAUGGAGGCAUCUCUGUGGGUUUAAAGGAAGCGAUUCCGGCUACGGAUGGUCAUGCGUCGCAUUAGCUUGUUGGCGGGGUAACGGCCCACCAAGGCGACGAUGCGUAGGGGUUCUGAGAGGAAGGUCCCCCCACACUGGUACUGAGACACGGACCAGACUCCUACGGAAGGCAGCAG